rnacentral:rRNA from 1 species
UACGUAGGGUGCAAGCGUUGUCCGGAAUUAUUGGGCGUAAAGAGCUCGUAGGCGGUCUGUCGCGUCGGCUGUGAAAACUCGGGGCUCAACCCCGAGCCUGCAGUCGAUACGGGCAGACUAGAGUGCUGUAGGGGGAGACUGGAAUUCCUGGUGUAGCGGUGAAAUGCGCAGAUAUCAGGAGAACACCGGUGGCGAAGGCGGGGUCUCUGGGCAGUAACUGACGCUGAGGAGCGAAAGCGUGGGGAGCGAACAGG